GAUGAACGCUGGCGGCGUGCCUAAUACAUGCAAGUCGAGCGAACAGACGAGGAGCUUGCUCCUCUGACGUUAGCGGCGGACGGGUGAGUAACACGUGGAUAACCUACCUAUAAGACUGGGAUAACUUCGGGAAACCGGAGCUAAUACCGGAUAAUAUAUUGAACCGCAUGGUUCAAUAGUGAAAGACGGUUUUGCUGUCACUUAUAGAUGGAUCCGCGCCGCAUUAGCUAGUUGGUAAGGUAACGGCUUACCAAGGCAACGAUGCGUAGCCGACCUGAGAGGGUGAUCGGCCACACUGGAACUGAGACACGGUCCAGACUCCUACGGGAGGCAGCAGUAGGGAAUCUUCCGCAAUGGGCGAAAGCUUGACGGAGCAACGCCGCGUGAGUGAUGAAGGUCUUCGGAUCGUAAAACUCUGUGAUUAGGGAAGAACAAAUGUGUAAGUAACUAUGCACGUCUUGACGGUACCUAAUCAGAAAGCCACGGCUAACUACGUG
rnacentral:rRNA from 1 species